rnacentral:tRNA from 1 species
CGUCGGUAGAAGGAUUCGAACCUCCGACCCUGAAGGGCGCAGUUUAGCAAACUGUUGCAAUAACCUCUAUGCGAUACCGAC